rnacentral:misc_RNA from 1 species
AUUCACAACCCCACCUGUGAUUGACAUUGUGUGCAUUUAUCAUUCAAUUCUUUGGCCAUGCUUGGGCAUCAGAAUCCAUUGUUUCAUGAAGUAAAGAUGUUCCAAUGAUGAUCUGACGAUCCAGUUUCUUUAAUCUUUUCAAGCUUCUUGAGAAUGUCCAAGAAAGAAGGUCUUUGGUUCAUGUCUGCAGCCCAGCACUGAUCCGU